rnacentral:rRNA from 1 species
GACGAACGCUGGCGGCGUGCCUAAUACAUGCAAGUCGAGCGGACCGAACAGGAGCUUGCUCUUGUUCGGUUAGCGGCGGACGGGUGAGUAACACGUGGGUAACCUGCCCGUAAGACCGGGAUAACUCCGGGAAACCGGAGCUAAUACCGGAUAACACCGAAGACCGCAUGGUCUUUGGUUGAAAGGCGGCUUCGGCUGCCACUUACGGAUGGGCCCGCGGCGCAUUAGCUAGUUGGUGAGGUAACGGCUCACCAAGGCGACGAUGCGUAGCCGGCCUGAGAGGGUGACCGGCCACACUGGGACUGAGACACGGCCCAGACUCCUACGGGAGGCAGCAGUAGGGAAUCUUCCGCAAUGGACGAAAGUCUGACGGAGCGACGCCGCGUGAGCGAAGAAGGUCUUCGGAUCGUAAAGCUCGGUUGUUAGGGAAGAAGAAGCGUCGUUCGAACAGGGCGGCGCGGUGACGGUACCUAACGAGAAAGCCCCGGCUAACUACGUG